rnacentral:rRNA from 1 species
UACAGAGGGGGCAAGCGUUAUUCGGAAUUAUUGGGCGUAAAGGGCGCGUAGACGGCUUGGCAAGUGGAUGGUGAAAUCCCUCGGCUUAACCGAGGAACUGCCGUCCAAACUGCUUUGCUUGAGACCGGGAGAGGUGAGUGGAAUUCCCAGUGUAGCGGUGAAAUGCGUAGAUAUUGGGAGGAACACCAGUGGCGAAGGCGGCUCACUGGACCGAUACUGACGCUGAGGAGCGAAAGCCAGGGGAGCAAACGGG